AUGAACGCUGGCGGCGCGCCUAAUACAUGCAAGUCGAGCGAGAAGACGUAGCAAUACGUUUGUAAAGCGGCGAACGGGUGAGGAAUACAUGGGUAACCUACCCUCGAGUGGGGAAUAACUAGCCGAAAGGUUAGCUAAUACCGCGUACGCUCCUUGGACUUCGGUUCAGGGAGGAAAGCGAUACCGUGGGUAUCGCGCUCUUGGUUGGGCUCAUGUCCUAUCAGCUUGUUGGUGAGGUAACGGCUCACCAAGGCUUCGACGGGUAGCUGGUCUGAGAGGACGAUCAGCCACACUGGCACUGCGACACGGGCCAGACUCCUACGGGAGGCAGCAGUAAGGAAUAUUGCGCAAUGGGCGAAAGCCUGACGCAGCGACGCCGCGUGGGGGAUGAAGGUC
rnacentral:rRNA from 1 species